rfam:Nicotiana attenuata strain TT chromosome 8, whole genome shotgun sequence.
GGUCUCUUCGGGAACAUUCAAUAAAAUAAAAAUGAUACAGAGAAAAUUAGUAUGACUUUCGCGCAAGAAUAAAACACCAGUCUAGAAAUAAUCAAAAUUUAA